rnacentral:rRNA from 1 species
AUAUCACUAGGCGGAGGAAAAGAAACUAACAAGGAUUCCCUCAGUAACGGCGAGUGAAGCGGGAAGAGCUCAGACUGAAAAUCUUCGGAGUUGUAGUCUGGAGAAGUUAGAUCAGGCCCGUCGGUCAGUAAAGUCUACUGGAAUGUAGCGCCUUGGAGGGUGAUAGCCCCGUGUGAUACUGACGACGGCGGACCGUACGAUCGACUUUCAACGAGUCGAGUUGUUUGGGAUUGCAGCUCUAAGUGGGUGGUAAAUUCCAUCUAAAGCUAAAUAUUGGUGGGAGACCGAUAGCGCACAAGUA